GUCUUUAUGAAGUUAAAUAAAGUCUAUUCUGCCCAUUGAAUAAAUUUUGAAAGGCCGCAGUAUUUUAACUGUGCAAAGGUAGCAUAAUCAUUAGUUUUUUAAUUGAAGGCUUGUAUGAACGAUUGGACAAGAGCUAAACUGUCUCUUUUUUAAUUAAUUGAAUUUUAUUAUUAAGUGAAAAAGCUUAAAUGAGCUAGAGGGACGAUAAGACCCUAUAAAUCUUUAUAAAAAUUAAUUUUAAAGAAAAAAUAUUUAUUUAAAUAGUCUUUAAAAUAAAGUUUUAUUGUGCUGGGGUGGUAAUAAUAUAAAAUAAACUGUUAAAAAAUUAAACAAAUAUAUUUGAGAUUAAAAGAUCCUUAAUUAGAGAUUAAAAGAAAAAGUUACUUUAGGGAUAACAGCAUAAUUUUUUUUGAGAGUUCAAAUCGAAAAAAAAGUUUGUGACCUCGAUGUUGAAUUAAGAAGUCCUUACGGGGCAGCAGUUGUAAAGGAAAGUCUGUUCGACUUUUAAAUUCUU
rnacentral:rRNA from 1 species